rnacentral:misc_RNA from 1 species
UCUCACGCGUCUAGGAUCCGAAGCAGAUCGUUCAAACAUUUGGCAAUAAAGUUUCUUAAGAUUGAAUCCUGUUGCCGGUCUUGCGAUGAUUAUCAUAUAAUUUCUGUUGAAUUACGUUAAGCAUGUAAUAAUUAACAUGUAAUGCAUGACGUUAUUUAUGAGAUGGGUUUUUAUGAUUAGAGUCCCGCAAUUAUACAUUUAAUACGCGAUAGAAAACAAAAUAUAGCGCGCAAACUAGGAUAAAUUAUCGCGCGCGGUGUCAUCUAUGUUACUAGAUCGGGAAGAUCC